UACGUAGGGGGCUAGCGUUGUCCGGAUUUAUUGGGCGUAAAGAGCUCGUAGGCGGUUUGUCGCGUCUGCCGUGAAAGUCCGGGGCUCAACUCCGGAUCUGCGGUGGGUACGGGCAGACUAGAGUGAUGUAGGGGAGACUGGAAUUCCUGGUGUAGCGGUGAAAUGCGCAGAUAUCAGGAGGAACACCGAUGGCGAAGGCAGGUCUCUGGGCAUUAACUGACGCUGAGGAGCGAAAGCAUGGGGAGCGAACAGG
rnacentral:rRNA from 1 species